CAUCAAUGCUUCAUCGUCUUGUCC
rnacentral:siRNA from 1 species